rnacentral:ribozyme from 13 species
AAAAGGACAAAAAUUUAUUUAUGCAAUGAAAAUUGAAAAAGGGGAAAAUUUUCACCUUACUGAUUCUCUUCCUUCAAAUUGUUUUCCUUGUCCUUUUUCUCAAAACCCAAAAUCACAACAAAAACAA